AUGGGGAUGAGGAACGGGGUCGGUCGAGGCCUCGCAGUGAGGCUCCGGGCGGCCGUGACCCUGCUGGAGUCCGGGGGGGACCUCCAGCCCCCCGGGGGGUCCCUGCGCCUCCUCUGCCGAGGCUCCGGGUUUGAUUUUGGCAGGUAUGACCUGCACUGGAUCCGCCAGAGACCCGGGCAGGGGCUGGAAUUCGUCGCUGCGAUCGACAGCAAUGGCGGUACCUCCUACGCUCCGUCACUGCGGGGCCGGGUCAGGAUCUCCAGGGACAACGGGCAGAGCUCGGUGACGCUGACCAUGAACAGCCUCAGGGACGAGGAUUCCGGAUCCUAUUUCUGCGCCAAAGAGUCUGGUGCUUACAUCGCUGACGGCGCUCUGGAAUCUGUUGGCCUCAAUCCUGUCCCCGUGUCCCCACCUGUCCCCAUUCCCCAGAACCUUCCCUGCAACCCUUGA